rnacentral:rRNA from 1 species
GAUGAACGCUGGCGGCGUGCCUAAUACAUGCAAGUCGAGCGAACGGAGGAGAAGCUUGCUUUUCUGAUGUUAGCGGCGGACGGGUGAGUAACACGUGGAUAACCUACCUAUAAGACUGGGAUAACUUCUGGAAACCGGAGCUAAUACCGGAUAAUAUUUUGUACCGCAUGGUUCAAAAGUGAAAGACGGUCUUGCUGUCACUUAUAGAUGGAUCCGCGCUGCAUUAGCUAGUUGGUAAGGUAACGGCUUACCAAGGCAACGAUGCAUAGCCGACCUGAGAGGGUGGUAGGCCAAACUGGAGCUGAGACACGGUCCAGACUCCUACGGGAGGCAGCAGUAGGGAAGCUUCCGAAAUGGGCGAAAGCCUGACGGAGCAAAGCAGCGUGAGUGAGGAAGGUAUUCGGAUCGUAAAACUCUGUUAUUAGGGAAGAACAUAUGUGUAAGUAACUGUGCACAUCUUGACGGUACCAAAUCAAAAAGCCACGGCUAACUACGUG